rnacentral:tRNA from 1 species
UAGCUUAAUGGGAGAGCUAUGGAUUCAUAACCCAUCGACGAAGGUUCGAUUCCUUC